rnacentral:rRNA from 1 species
UAGGGAAUAUUGCACAAUGGGGGAAACCCUGAUGCAGCAACGCCGCGUGAGUGAAGAAGGCCCUUGGGUUGUAAAGCUCUUUAGCUAGGGAAGAAGCUUUCUAUGGCUAAUAUCCAUAGAAGGUGACGGUACCUGGAGAAUAAGCACCGGCUAAUCUCGUGCCAGCAGCCGCGGUAAUACGAGAGGUGCAAGCGUUACUCGGAAUCACUGGGCGUAAAGCGCACGUAGGCGGAUUUGUAUGUCAAUUGUGAAAGCCCAAGGCUCAACCUUGGAAUCGCAGUUGAAACUGCAUUUCUUGAAUACUUGAGAGGGUGGGGGAAUACCUAGUGGAGAAGUGAAAUUCGUAGAGAUUAGGUGGAACACCAGAGGCGAAGGCGCCUGCCUGGCAAUGUAUUGACGCUGAGGUGCGAAAGUGCGGGGAGCAAACAGG